rnacentral:lncRNA from 13 species
CUUGUCUGAGCUCAGGAGUUCGAGACCAGCCUGGGCAACAUGGUAAAACCCCGUAAAACAUGGUAAAAACUAAAAAUACAAAAAUCAGCUGGGUGUGAUGGAGGGCACCUGUAGCCCCAGCUACUCCAGAGGCUGAGGCAGGAGAAUGGCUUGAACCCGGGAGACAGAGGGUUAGUUUUUCAGACAUCCUUCCAGUAUUUCUAGUUUGAUUCCACUGUGACCUGAGAGCAUAGCUUAUGUGAUUUCAAAUUUCAAAAAUUUAUUGAGGUGUGUUUACAGGCCAAAAUCUUAUCUUUCUUCUUGCAUUCCACGUGCAUUUAAAAUAAAUGUGCAUUUUCUAUUGUUGGGUGGAGAGUCCUAGAGAUGUGUCAGCCUCCUGGGCUGGUGUGUUCAGUUCUCCUGUACCCCUCUGUUGUUGGGUGGAGGGUUCUAGAGAUGUGUCAGCCUCCUGGGCUGGUGUGUUCAGCUCUCCUGUACCCUCUGUUGUUGGGUGGAGGGUUCUAGAGAUUUCUCCUGUACCCUCUGUUGUUGGGUGGAGGGUUCUAGAGAUGUGUCAGCCUCCUGGGCUGGUGUGUUCAGUUCUCCUGUAUCCCUCUGUUGUUGGGUGGAGGGUUCUAGAGAUGUGUCAGCCUCCUGGGCUGGUGUGUUCAGUUCUCCUGUAUCCCUCUGUUGUUGGGUGGAGGGUUCUAGAGAUGUGUCAGCCUCCUGGGCUG